GCCACAACCCCAGCCCUCUCCUUUUUCUUUUGUGUUAACAUCUAUUUGUUAUGCAAAUUAACAUCUAUCACUGUGACAUUACUAUGCAUGUAUACAUCUUCAUUGAUCAUGUUAAUUUGCAUAACAAAUAGAUGUUAACACAAAAGAAAAAGGAGAGGGCUGGGGUUGUGGC
rnacentral:miRNA from 1 species